UGUGGUGGAUUCGUCUGCCCUAUCAACUUUUGAUGGUAGUAUCUAGGACUACCAUGGUUGCAACGGGUAACGGGGAAUCAGGGUUCGAUUCCGGAGAGGGAGCCUGAGAAACGGCUACCACAUCUAAGGAAGGCAGCAGGCGCGUAAAUUACCCACUCCCAGCUCGGGGAGGUAGUGAGGAAAAAUAACAAUACAGGACUCAUAUCCGAGGCCCUGUAAUUGGAAUGAGUACACUUUAAAUCCUUUAACAAGGACCAAUUGGAGGGCAAGUCUGGUGCCAGCAGCCGCGGUAAUUCCAGCUCCAAUAGCGUAUAUUAAAGUUGUUGCGGUUAAAACGUUCGUAGUUGAACUUGUGCUUCAUACGGGUAGUACAACUUACAAUUGUGGUUAGUACUAUACCUUUAUGUAUGUAAGCGUAUUACCGGUGGAGUUCUUACAUGUGAUUAAAUACUUGUAUUUUUUCAUAUGUUCCUCCUAUUUAAAAACCUGCAUUAGUGCUCUUAAACGAGUGUUAUUGUGGGCCGGUACUAUUACUUUGAACAAAUUAGAGUGCUUAAAGCAGGCUUCAAAUGCCGGAAUAUUCUGUGCAUGGGAUAAUAAAAUAAGACCUCUGUUCUGCUUUCAUUGGUUUUCAGAUCAAGAGGUAAUGAUUAAUAGAAGCAGUUUGAAGGCAUUAGUAUUAUGACGCGAGAGGUGAAAUUCUUGGAGCGUCGUAAGACUAACUUAAGCGAAAGCAUUUGCCAAAGAUGUUUUCAUUAAUCAAGAACGAAAGUUAGAGGUUCGAAGGCGAUCAGAUACCGCCCUAGUUCUAACCAUAAACGAUGAUCGUAGCCCCUUAAAUGGAUAUACGACCUGUUGGUGAAGUGCGUCUCCGAUAUGAGUAUAAUAUCUAUUGCAUUUGUUAGCAUGAAGUGUUCCACUUCGAGCCUGUGUCUGACCAGGCCGUUGGCAUUCCAGAAGGCUAUGUGCAGGCCUACUUGCUGCAGACCUGGGACAGGAUGGCGCUAACCAUUGCCGUCAGUUGAGUGAACAUCUUGUCCAUCAUUUUCUCUAGCAGUUUCUCCAUUCUGAACAUGAAGACUGCCGCUUGGUGUUCCUUCUUGGGGGACUCUGGCGUGGGCUGCUGUUGGUGCGGUUGCAGUGGCCGCACAUACCCUUUGGCUAUGUCUCCAUAGCUUGUCACUUUGGUGUCGAACAACGGAACAACGGAUGGGAUUGUGUUUGUCGAGGGCCGUGCCACUGGGCUGGGCGGGGUGCCUUUGGAGCGAUGUUUGCCUUAGCCUUCUUGUAGGCCGGGCAUCCUCUAUAUGAAGCCGGGUGAGCUCCCUGGCAGUGUGCGCAGCAUGCCGGCUCUUCCUUCUUCUUACCACACACAGCGGAGAUAUGGUCUUCCCCGCAUUUGACGCAGCGCGCAUCCAAUCGGCAAUACCUCUGGCUGUGCCCAUAGCCUUGGCACCUAAAACACUGAGGUAUGUCAUCGAAUUUCCGUGGGGGUUCCACUGUCACGACGGACC
rnacentral:rRNA from 1 species